GGUCGAGAGUCAAUCUAAAGUUGGCCUUUGGACAAUCCUCACCCCUAAUAUAAAAAAUGAACAGAUGCACGCUGCAUCAGCAGCUAAAAUUGACACUCGCAAACCGCUCAAACAUUUUCUCUCAUAAAAAAAUGCGACAAAGGAGACUUUCCUCCGCCUUUAUGCAGCGGUGCGUGCCCCCACCCCGACCGAGGUCGACUUAGAAUCGACACGUGCGCGACCGAACGCGGUCGUAUUCCACGUUCCACGGGACCAAAACGAAGGAACGUACGUGUACAAAAUCCACUGCCCCGCCGCGGUCCAGCCCACCGCCAUUCGCUACCGCUGCAAGAACCUCGACCAGACAAAACCCAAUCGUCGUCGUCGUCGUCGUCGUCGUCCCCACCUCGUACAAAUUCUCUGUCUCUCUUACUCGCUCCCCGCACAGUCGAGACAAACCAGAGCCGUGGCAAACUCCACACGAAGAAAAAACGCCGCCAUGUCUCCCUCUCUCAUCCUCUCCCUCUCCCACCUCCUCCUCCUCCUCUUCUCCGCCGCCGCCGCCGCCGCCGCGUCGUCUCGCCCUCUCGGCCUCGCCGGCGACGGCGACGACAGCUCGUCGGCAUACGAGGCCCUCGAGGGGUACAACUUCCCGGCGGGCAUCCUCCCGCAGGGCGUGACCGGGUACGAGCUCGACCCCUCCACGGGCGGUUCCGCGCCGACCUGGGCGGCGCCUGCAGCUUCUCCCUCCAGGGGUCGUACCAGCUCCGCUACAAGUCCACGAUCGGCGGGUACAUCUCCCGAACAGGCUCGCCAGCCUCACCGGGGUCAGCGUCAAGGUGCUCUUCCUCUGGCUCAAUAUCAUCGAGGUCGAGCGCGUCGGUGACGAGCUCUACUUCUCCGUCGGGAUCGCCUCGGCCUCCUUCGGCAUCGACAACUUCUUCGAGUCCCCGCAGUGCGGGUGCGGGUUCGAUUGCGUCGGCGGCGGCGGCGCGAGGAAGAUCAGGAUCAAGGGCCUGGCUUCUUCGAUUUAGGGCUUUGCUCGGGAGAUCAUUUGGCCUCUUUGGCUCUUUUUGGAUGGAAAACUGUGUGACAGUUGUAGUGAUUAACCCAAUAUCGAACUUUGAAUGAUGACCAUGAUCAGCUGGAGAGUGCAUAAUGAUGCUGUACGAGUUGUGAGGGAGUAGAUGAUUCCUGAAUAAGCAAACCUUAUAAGAUUGCCUA